rnacentral:rRNA from 1 species
UGGGGAAUCUUCCGCAAUGGGCGAAAGCCUGACGGAGCAACGCCGCGUGGGUGAAGAAGGCCUUCGGGUUGUAAAGCCCUGUCUUUGGGGACGAAAGAAAUGACGGUACCCAAGGAGGAAGCCACGGCUAACUACGUGCCAGCAGCCGCGGUAAUACGUAGGUGGCAAGCGUUGUCCGGAAUCACUGGGCGUAAAGGGCGCGUAGGCGGGUUAUUAAGUCAGAUGUGAAAGAUGCGGGCUCAACCCGGAGUGUGCAUCUGAUACUGGUGGUCUUGAGUGCAGGAGAGGACAGUGGAAUUCCUAGUGUAGCGGUGAAAUGCGUAGAUAUUAGGAGGAACACCAGUGGCGAAGGCGGCUGUCUGGACUGUAACUGACGCUGAGGCGCGAAAGCGUGGGGAGCAAACAGG